AGAGUUUGAUCCUGGCUCAGGACGAACGCUGGCGGCGUGGAUUAGGCAUGCAAGUCGAACGGUAUGGUGCUUUCGGGCAUCAGAGAGUGGCGAACGGGUGAGUAACACGUAGGUGAUCUACCCUCAAGACGGGGACAACCCAGGGAAACUUGGGCUAAUACCGGAUGAUAGCAGCAGUGAUGUUGUUUAAAAGAUGGCUUUCGGGCUGUCGUUUGGGGAUGAGCCUGCGUCCUAUUAGCUAGUUGGUGUGGUAAAGGCACACCAAGGCGAUGAUAGGUAGGCGGCCUUAACGGGCGGUCGCCCACACUGGGAUUGAGAUACGGCCCAGACUCCUACGGGAGGCAGCAGUCGAGAAUAGUCUACAAUGGCCGGAAGGCUGAUAGUGCGACGCCGCGUGAACGAAGGAGCCCUUCGGGGUGUAAAGUUCUUUUCUAUACGAGCAGUACUAUAUAGGUGAAUAAUUUAUAUAGGGGGAUAGUAGUAUAGGAAUAAGCAACGGCUAACUCCGUGCCAGCAGCCGCGGUAACACGGGGGUUGCGAGCGUUGUCCGGAAUUACUAGGCGUAAAGGGCAGUCAGGCGGAUCUGCGAGUUUUUUGUUAAAGGCUACGGCUCAACCGUAGUAAGGCAGGAGAUACUGUAGAUCUGGAAUUUGGUAGAGGAAGACAGAAUUCCUGGUGUAGCGGUGGAAUGCGCAGAGAUCAGGAGGAAUACCGAAGGCGAAGGCAGUCUUCUGGGCCGAUAUUGACGCUUAACUGCGAAGGUGUGGGGAUCAAACAGGAUUAGAUACCCUGGUAGUCCACACAGUAAACGAUGAUCACUAGAUGUCGGGUUCGAUAGGGAUUCGGUAUCGUAGCAAACGCGGUAAGUGAUUCGCCUGGGGAGUACGAUCGCAAGGUUGAAACUCAAAUGAAUUGACGG
rnacentral:rRNA from 1 species